CCGAAUCGUCCGCCACGUUAACGCAUAGAAUAAAUGGAAAAAAUUCCGUGAUUGAAGUACCUAUACCUACUGUAUUAUAGGUAUACUGCGGUAUAGGUCAUUCUAGUCGUUUGUACCUGUGCGGUUAUACCGCACAGCUGAGUUUGUCCGUGGACAAAAACGAGGUGGAACUAUGGAUAGCUAAUAGCUAUACAUAAUAUAGUCAAUAAAAUUGUUGGGUAUAUAUUUCGCUAGGAAUAUAAAGUUAAUUACCCUACCUAUAACGAAUUCGUAACGCAUCACAACUCAAAAAAACAGUGGUAUCAUGGUCAUUCCAUAUUAUGUAAAAGGUACCUACCUAUUAUUAUUCGUGUAUAUGUAUACAAAUAAAAUAUUCGAUUUCCGAUUGUCCUAAACAAUAUGCUCGUAUAAGCCCAUUUUUAAAGUUUAAAAUGCUUUAAUAUUUUAAUUCACACCCCUAUCAUUGCCGACGGUGGAAAGUUUCUACUAUUAAUACGCUCACUCUAUAUAUGUAUUUGAUUAUUACUUCUAUUUAAAUAAAUUAUUACCAUAGCGGCAAAGGCUACGCCCUAUGCAAUUAUAUACAUUUUAUCUUCUACAACAAAUUAUGUCAGUGGAGCCAGUGUCAUUAUUAGCAUUUAGCAUUUGCCAUUUAGUAUGGGUGUAGAAAUGUAUUUGAACCUGGGUCCCACGGUCCUGUUUCAAACUCUAAUUUUUAAACUUUUUUUUAAAUAUUUAAAAUUUUUUACUUUUUGACCAACAGUUUAAUCAGCAAUGCAAGUUUAGUAACACUAAAAAAAAUCCAUUAUUACCGCUUAUCACAAUUAUCAUUUCUAAGAAUUUAAAGUCGUACGUGGUUGUUUACUACCUAUAGUAGCUACUACCUAAGUAGCUAUUACCUCCAACGGUCUCACUACCUAACGUUUUCGUUCUGUUUACAGUUUAUGUAUUGUACUUAAAUUGUUUAUGGUCAUGGUUUAUUCUUUAAUCUUUAGAGAGUAGAUACAUGUUAAACUUGUAGCCUUCGAUCUUUUUGACAAUUCACAAAUCACAGCAUCCACGAUCAAUGGAAAAUUAAGAGGAUGUCAACAUGCUAUUCACCAUAAUUGAGACCAACAAAUAAAUAAAUACAAAUUGGACUUAUCACAACUGCGAUUCAAAUGGAUAAAGAAGCUUAAAUUUUAGUGCUUAAAACAGAAGAUAAAGCAAUUGUUGAGUAAUAACGGAAAGAUACAAAGAUUACUAAUUACUAAUUCAUCUAAUUAGUACUUGGCAUAAAAUAUAAGUUUCAGGAAUACUGGUUUCAGAGGAAUAACAAUAAUUUGUGCUGAACCGGACGAUAGCUGAACAAUAGAGGACUCGGACGGUGAACAUAACAAUAAUACUAGUGCGGCAGGUAGCACGUGCGAUUUUGUUUGAAACAAAAAAUGUCGUUUUACAAACCAAUCGAAACAGGUACGUCCGGAGCAAGUGACAUAUGAUUGCAAACAGACCUUUUCCCAUAACACGAUUGCGAACUUUUUACCUGCCUUUAAUCUUGUGGUGUUAGCUAAUUACAAAUUUUUAAAUAAUUAAAUAGUAGAGUAUAAGGAUUUUCUGCUAUUACGCUAUUAAAACAAUUUACAUAAUCCUAUGUCCAAAAAAGAUAAA